UGAAUUUAUUAGCGGCCUCCAUUAUCGGGCUUCGCCGAACCCCAAGGCGACCGUUCGUACGCCUUUCGUUUUACCGAGAAACGGCCAAGAGAAACGAGGGAUCCUCGAAAAGGGAGGGUAAAAAGAAGCGGCCGAGGACAGAAGGAAAGAAAGGCCGGCUACGUGGGUUAACGGAGCACUUCGCGUCUUUAUCCGGCGCCGGUCGACCGCCCUUUGUUCCGCUUCGAGCACCGUGAAUACUUCAAAGGAUGUCCGGCCUCCAGUAGUAUUGAUAGCAGCGCUUCCUCGAUGGUUUCUAAAUAAAUUUACGUGGCGCUCUACCGCAGACCCUUUCUCAGGCUACCGUGCAGCAACCACGGAAGAGACAUCGUUUGUAUCACCGAAUAACAACCGUCGAAUGUUUGCAAUGGAAGACUGUCUUAUAUAAAACAGAAGAAAAGAGGACGCCGUGGGAAUUCGCGGGACCGACUAGCAUUUACGCUUGUAACAUUCGCGGAACAAGAAGGUGGACAGCGAAAUGGAGCGAGCGUGGCGUUGUAGACGGACGACGAACAACCAGCGCCGCUAGUCCGACGGUAAAUCAACGCGAGAAGAACUUCCCGAUGCGAGGCAACGACGACGAAUCGAGGAAGAAGAGAGCUGGCGGAAGACGAGAAAAGAGGGACGUCGGGAGGACACGACGAGUUUUCCGGCGACAAGCAGCCAGCGAGCUUUGUGCUCCGGCAAAGGGUGUCUCGCGGCAGCCGGAGGGUGUAACCCCAGCUUAUUCAUACGCAGGAAAC
rnacentral:misc_RNA from 1 species